GAAUCUGCCUGUGGGUCGGGGACAACCACUGGAAACGGUGGCUAAUACCGGAUGAGCCGAAAGGUAAAAAAUUUAUUGCCCACAGAUGAGCUCGCGUCUGAUUAGCUAGUUGGUAAGGUAAAAGCGUACCAAGGCGACGAUCAGUAGCUGGUCUGAGAGGAUGAGCAGCCACACUGGGACUGAGACACGGCCCAGACUCCUACGGGAGGCAGCAGUGGGGAAUUUUCCGCAAUGGGCGAAAGCCUGACGGAGCAAGACCGCGUGGGGGAGGAAGGUUUUUGGAUCGUAAACCCCCUUUGUUAAGGAAGAAGUUCUGACGGUACUUGACGAAUAAGCCUCGGCUAACUCCGUGCCAGCAGCCGCGGUAAUACGGAGGAGGCAAGCGUUAUCCGGAAUGAUUGGGCGUAAAGCGUCUGUAGGUGGCCAGCUAAGUCUGCUGUUAAAGAUCACAGCUCAACUGUGGGAAGGCAGUGGAAACUGGCAAGCUAGAGGCUGGUAGGGGUAAAGGGAAUUCCCGGUGUAGCGGUAAAAUGCGUAGAUAUCGGGAAGAACACCGGUGGCGAAAGCGCUUUACUGGGCCAGACCUGACACUGAAGGACGAAAGCUAGGGGAGCGAAAGGGAUUAGAUACCCCUGUAGUC
rnacentral:rRNA from 1 species